GCGCCAGUAGUGUAACGGAUAGAGCACACGCUCAUGGAUAGAGUGAGUUGCGAGUUCGAGUCCCGCCUGACGCG